rnacentral:rRNA from 1 species
ACGACGUACGUACGGGAACGGAGGUAGGAAGGUAGGACUACAGGGGUAGGAGUGAAAUCUUGUAAUCCCUGUGGGACCACCUGUGGUGAAGGCGUCUUACCAGAACGGGUUCGACGGUGAGGGACGAAAGCUGGGGGCACGAACCGGAUUAGAUACCCGGGUAGUCCCAGCCGUAAACGAUGCUCGCUAGGUGUCAGGCAUGGCGCGACCGUGUCUGGUGCCGCAGGGAAGCCGUGAAGCGAGCCACCUGGGAAGUACGGCCGCAGGGCUGAAACUUAAAGGAAUUGGCGGGGGAGCACAACAACGGGUGGAGCCCUGCGGUUUAAUUGGACUCAACGCCGGACAACUCACCGGGGGCGACAGCAAUAUGUAGGCCAAGCUGAAGACUUUGCCUGAAUCGCUGAGAGGUGGUGCAUGG